rnacentral:rRNA from 1 species
GAAAAGAAACCAACAGGGAUUGCCCUAGUAACGGCGAGUGAAGCGGCAACAGCUCAAAUUUGAAAUCUGGCUUCGGCCCGAGUUGUAAUUUGCAGAGGAUGUUUCUGGCGCGGUGCCUUCCGAGUUCCCUGGAACGGGACGCCACAGAGGGUGAGAGCCCCGUAUGGUUGGACACCAAGCCUGUGUGAAACUCCUUCGACGAGUCGAGUAGUUUGGGAAUGCUGCUCAAAAUGGGAGGUAAAUCUCUUCUAAAGCUAAAUACCGGCCAGAGACCGAUAGCGCACAAGUAGAGUGAUCGAAAGAUGAAAAGCACCUUGAAAAGGGGGUUAAACAGUACGUGAAAUUGUUGAAAGGGAAGCGCUUGUGACCAGACUUGCGCCGGGCGGUUCAUCCGGGGUUCUCCCCGGUGCACUCCGCCCGGUUCAGGCCAGCAUCGGUUCUCGUUGGGGGAUAAGAACGAUAGGAACGUGGCCCUCCUUCGGGUGGGUGUUAUAGCCUGUCGUACGAUACCCUGACGGGGACCGAGGUUCGCGCUCCGCAAGGAUGCUGGCGUAAUGGUCAUCAGCGACCCGUCUUGAAACACGGACCAAGGAGUGUCCCAUUAGAGCGAGCGUUUGGGUGUAAAACCCGCACGCGUAAUGAAAGUGAAAUUAGGUGAGAGCUUCGGCGCAUCAUCGACCGAUCCUGAUGUUCUCGGAUGGAUUUGAGUAAGAGUUUUAACGGACGGACCCGAAAGACAGUGAACUAUGCUUGUAUAGGGUGAAGCCAGAGGAAACUCUGGUGGAGGCUCGCAGCGGUUCUGACGUGCAAAUCGAUCGUCAAAUAUGAGCAUGGGGGCGAAAGACUAAUCGAACUGUUGACGCACGAGAGUGUGGGCACACCGUAUGAAAAUUCGUUUUCGCGGGCUGCUAGGCAGUUAAGAGUCCGGCCGUAAGGCAGGGCUAGUAGGCUUCAGAGAGGCCUGCGACACCGUCAAAUUGCGGGGACACCCCAUUAGAAAGCUGCGCUACCGCCUACGGCUCGAAAGAGCUGUCAGGCACCAGGUGUAACGGCCUGGGUAUGGUAAUAACGCGUGUACGCAAGGGGCAAUCCGCAGCCAAUCCCUAACCCACCUCUAUAGGUGGUAUGGAGGCAGUUCACAGACUAGACGGCGGUGGGCACCGUUACAGAAGGUGCUUAAGAUAUAGUCGAGUCCCGCCUAGCAAUAGGUGGGUAGUUUAACGCUAGUAGCUGGUUACCGCCGAAGUUUCCCUCAGGAUAGCAGUGUUGACCUUCAGUUUUAUGAGGUAAAGCGAAUGAUUAGGGACUCGGGGGCGCUUUUUAGCCUUCAUCCAUUCUCAAACUUUAAAUAUGUAAGAAGCCCUUGUUACUUAGUUGAACGUGGGCAUUCGAAUGUAUCAACACUAGUGGGCCAUUUUUGGUAAGCAGAACUGGCGAUGCGGGAUGAACCGAACGCGGGGUUAAGGCGCCAGAGUGUACGCUCAUCAGACACCACAAAAGGCGUUAGUACAUCUUGACAGCAGGACGGUGGCCAUGGAAGUCGGAAUCCGCUAAGGACUGUGUAACAACUCACCUGCCGAAUGUACUAGCCCUGAAAAUGGAUGGCGCUCAAGCGUACCGCCCAUACCCCGCCCUCAGGGUAGAAACGAUGCCCUGAGGAGUAGGCGGCCGUGGAGGUCAGUGACGAAGCCUAGGGCGUGAGCCCGGGUCGAACGGCCUCUAGUGCAGAUCUUGGUGGGUAGU